GGUCACCACUCACGAGCAUCUCGCCUCACCUCCAUACAGUGAUAUAGAGCAGCGAAAACAAGCUUCAGGAAGCAGAGGCCAAACCGCCAAAUUAAUGAUGUCGUGGACUGCUGCUCGAGUUGUCCCUCUCCUUGCCACCGCCGCCACCUCCAUCUCCUCCCUCUCUGUCGCAGCAGCAGCGUCCAAUUCCUCCACUUCGCCACACUCCGGCGACCUCCCAUCGGACUUCCUCACCCAGCUCUCGCAAUGGCGGGAACACCAUCUCUCCCACCCGCCCACGAACGGGCUUGGCGGCAAUGGCGUCGGCCCGAACGCCGUCCUGGCGUGGAUCCUGGCGUUCCUGGCGGCGUCCGUGUCGAGCGCGGGGGGCGUGGGGGGCGGGUCGCUGUUCCUCCCGAUCCUGAACCUCGUGGCGGGGCUCAGCCUGAAACGGGCCGCCACCUACUCCUCCUUCAUGGUCACCGGCGGGGCCGCCUCCAACGUGCUCUACAACCUCUUGUGGAACAGAGGCCGGGUGCUCAUCGACUACGACAUCGCGCUGCUGUUCCAGCCGUGCCUGCUCCUGGGCGUCAGCAUCGGGGUGGUCUGCAACGUCAUGUUCCCGGAGUGGCUCAUCACCGCGCUCUUCUCGCUCUUCCUCGCCUUCUGCACCGUCAAGACGUGCCGCGCCGGGGUGAAGAUUUGGAGGUCCGAGAGCUGCGCCGCUUCUGCUGCCGUCGCCGUCGCCGCCGCGCGUCAUAACGAAAACAAAGAGCCUCUGCUCGUCCUGCUUCCUGCUGGCCAGGACGGUGACCAAGCAGCGGCAGGCAAUGGCGCCGGGUUCCCGUGGAAGGACGUGUCGGUGCUCGUCGCGGUCUGGCUCUGCUUCUUCCUGCUACACGCCUUCAUUGGAGAUAAGCAUGGGAAGGGAAUGAUCAGGAUAACGCCCUGUGGAAUAGCAUACUGGCUUUUCACCAUAUCUCAGGUUCCUUUCUCUGUGGCUUUCACGGCCUACAUCAUAUACGCAAAGAGAAAGAAGCAGCUUCUGCGCAACCAAGAAGAUGGCAAGGCAAACUGCGUGGAGACUAAAACGGAAACCAUGUCAUCGCUCAUACUCCCACUGGCCGCUUUUGUGACCGGGUCUCUGAGUGGCCUCUUCGGCAUCGGUGGAGGGCUGCUUCUGAACCCUGUUCUCCUUCAGAUGGGAAUACCCCCUCAGACUGCAGCGGCGACGUCCUCGUUUAUGGUCCUGUUCUGCGCGUCGAUGUCGAUGGUUCAGUUCAUUCUGCUGGGAAUGGACGGGAUCGGGGAGGCUUCAGUCUACGCGGGGAUAUGCUUCGUUGCUUCGGUUGCCGGGGCUGUUCUGAUUGAAAAAGCCGUCAGGAAGUCCGGCCGGGUUUCGAUGAUCGUGUUCUUGGUUACUGCCAUCAUGGCGCUCAGCACCGUCAUCGUCACCUGCUUCGGAGCACUGGAUGUUUGGAAGCAGUACAAUGGUGGGGCGUACAUGGGAUUCAAGUUACCUUGUUGACAUCUUCAGCAAACUGUAGUACUGUACGUAUAGGAAAGCAUGAUCAGCUUGAGGGCCGGUGCUUAUUAAUGGCCUUUUUUUUUAGCUUUGCGUCGACGUCUUUCUGAAGGAAGAUUGAUGUUCUUGAUGUGUUAUGGCUGUUUCUGGGCUUGCAUAAUUUUCUCUGGAAUAAGUCUCUACUUCUGAAAAGAAGCUUGCAUAUAUAUGAAAGCACAGGCAGGAGCUCUGUCAAUCAAUAUUAGAAGAAGGAAAUCAAGGAAUACUCAUGUACACCACAUGUCCCCAUGGCGAAUGCGCGAAGGAGACACGGUCCUG